GAUCUCUUAUUUGGAAAUUUUACCAAAAUUUGAGCCUAGUCCAACCAUGAGCAGAUAUCUGAAGAUCUUGUCCUUCAGGGUCUGGCAUUUCUCAAAGGACAUGCUGUUCCCAUGGGUUACCAUGCACAUGCCAUAUGUGAGGAGUCAACUGCUGGGAAGAUUUUCAUUUCCAGUCCAUGUGGACUUUGGAUGCUCCCAGAUGGCCUUGGACAACUCCACCACCUUGGAUGCAAUCUUUUCUUCUUCUUACCAGACCCAAAGCAUGGAGAGAUGGAAACUUGAGAGCCCCAGGGCUUCAAGAGAAGACCAGAUAUGUAAAUAAUGAGCAUAUAAGGAGAUUUCCAAGCACAAAGCACAGAAAAUAUUGUCAAUAAACACAUAGGAGAAAAUACCCCAAAAUCUAAAGACGUGUCUAUCAACAUACAAGAGUUCCACCAAAUAGAAGAUAAGGAUCUACCAAAUAUCGGAAAAUAAAAGAACUCUCUCUGUCAUAUUAUAAUUGAAGUGCAAAAAAAAAAAAGAAGAAGAAAAAUGAUAUUGGAUCAUGUAAGAGAGAAUGUCAAGACAUAUAAAGGAAGGCCAUUUGGAUUUAGAGUUAAUUAUUUAACAGAAUCUGUUCAAUCCAGGAAAGAUCAGAAAGAUGGAUAUCCGGUUCUGAAAGACAACAGCUGCAAACUCAAUAAAAUAUCUGUUAUACUUGAAGGGAAAUCCAAAAUUUUGCAUUCCAGAAGCAGGCUAAUGGAAUUAAUGAGCACUGGGAUACCUCUUCAAAGGGUACAUUCAGGAGUGCUUUAGACUGAAGAGUAGGAAGAACAUCUUGAAGGGACCAUUGGAACAAAAAAUGAUAGUAGUGCAGUCAGCAAACAGGAAGCAAAACACUACCACAGAAACAGCGAUGAGAGGCAUCAAUAUACAACACACCUUAGAAAAUAACAUCGAAGCUCCUUAUUAUCCAAACAAAAAAAUAUCAAUUAGCAGCUUCUGUAAGAAGACAGGAUCCAUCUUUUUUUUUUUUUUUUUUUGUCUCCAGGAAAACACACCUCCUAUCAACAAAGACAUCACUCCAGUGUUAAAGCGUAUUGAGAAAAAUGUUUUAAGUAACUGAAACCAGGAAAACAAAGGGUCUAGCUAUUCUGAUUUUAGACAAAAUAGACUUCAAACCAAAAGAAGUCAGAGGAGACAAAGAAGAUCACUUCAUACUGAUCAGGGGAACAAUCUAACAAAAGGACAUUUCAAUUCUAAACAUUGUGCCAAAAAAUGUGUACACAAUUUCUAAAGCAAAUUCUACUAGGUAUGUAUUAGCUACCUAUUAAACGUAACACAGCAGGUAAUAACAAUGCCUCAUUCUCACCCAUGGACAAGUCCUCUAGAUGAAAGAAAAUGAAACCGAGAUGCAAUACAGUCAAAUGAAAACAUAAAUAGACCAAUUAGAUACCUAGAGGUGACUCACCCAAACACUUCAGGAAAAAACACUCUCAUGGAACUUUCCUAAAGUAGUUCAUUGUUUGGGACACAAGUCAAGUAUUCAUAUACAUAAGAAAAUCAAAAGGCUCCUUGUAUUUCGUUUGACAACAAAAUAAAGUUAGGAAUCAACAGCAAGAAAAACUAUAGAAAUGCUCAAACUCACAGAGCCUAAGUAACAUACUAUUCAAUGACAAAUGCAUCAUUGAAGAAGUCAAGGAGUUAAAUAAAAAAAUCCUAGACUAAAUAGAAUGGGAAUACAAUAUACCAAAGCCUUCUUGAUAAAGUGAAGAAAAAAUAAAAGAUAAAGUAAAAGAAAAGUUCUUUAGCUCUAAGACCCUACAGUAUAAAUCAGAGAGGGAAUGUCAGGACAGCUCAGCAGGUAAUGAUGCCUGAAGCACAGAUGAGAUGAUCUGAGCUCAACCUCCAGAACCCAGGCAAAGACAGAAGGAGAGAAGCAACUCCUUGUCUUUUGACCUAGAUAACCACAUCAUGGCACCUGUGAGAAAUGGUUCCCGGUGGGUAAGCACACACCUCUUUUGCCUUUCCAGAAAAGGAGCCUAAGAUACUCCUUCACCUUGUUCUGUAGAGCUCCCCAGGUCCAGGUAAGAAGGACACAUGCUGAGCAGCUCCACAGGUUAAAAUCUGUAUUUUCUCUACAUCAUCUUACCUCCCAAUGGGGUUUUCUAGCAGUAUCUACUAAAUUAAGCUGUAUGUGGACCUUUCCCUCAGAGAUCUUUCCUAGCAGGAAAGGCAGAACAGCACUGCUGGCUAUAUGGAAUCAACAUUUGAGACCUGAUCUCAAUAGCUUUCAUAUCUACCUAUGCCAAGAGGUAGACAGGACAGAGACCUAGAAGUUGAAAUUGAAUUCAUCUCUUGUCUGACACCUGAAACUUACCUCUGUGGCUUCGAGACACCAUCACUGAUGGGACACCAAACAUCACAUCUGCAAUCAAGUCCUGGAACAGGUCUUUCUUUUUGGCAGGGUCAUCUGUCCCUCCUAAAUACUUCUCAGUGGCCACUGGAAUCAAAUUCUCAGAGAUUUUCUGAAAUGAAUCAGAAAGUUACUAGCUACGUGAGGGUUGGGGCCUCUGCAGCCAGUUAAGAAGGAUUCAUCAAUUUUGAACUAUCUCAGUGGUUACCAAACCCUCCAUGGAAGGUUUGCCCAUGGAAGACUGGAAUAAACACUUAAGCUCUUUGGCUUCA